CUAUGAAGACUAGUUUAAGACAACAACAACCUGUGUGACUAUCACAGAGCUGCUGAUUCUGUCUUACAUGGUGAACAGCAGAUGACCACUGAAGGUGGUGUGGUGAUACAAAUUGUCAAACGCCAAAGUGUUAGCCCACAGACGAACAGACACAACUUCUCCCACCUCCAGAUACAGUGUAACACCAUUA